GCUCCUAUAGCUCAGUUGGUAGAGCGCGACACUAGUAUCUUAUACAUUCCUGAUGUAUUCGGGUAAUGUCGAGGUCUACGGUUCAAAUCCGUAUGGGAGCA